AUUUAAAUAGCUUAAAUUAUUAGAGCGUAAUAUUGAAGAUAUUAAAGUGGUGUUAAACCUUUAAAUA
rnacentral:tRNA from 1 species